GAUGAACGCUGGCGGCGUGCCUAAUACAUGCAAGUCGAGCGAACAGAUGAGGAGCUUGCUCCUCUGACGUUAGCGGCGGACGGGUGAGUAACACGUGGAUAACCUACCUAUAAGACUGGGAUAACUUCGGGAAACCGGCGCUAAUACCGGAUAAUAUAUUGAACCGCAUGGUUCAAUAGUGAAAGACGGGUUUGCUUUCACUUAUAGAUUGAUCCGCGCCGCAUUAGCUAGUUGGUAAGGUAACGGCUUACCAAGGCAACGAUGCGUAGCCGACCUGAGAGGGUGAUCGGCCACACUGGAACUGAGACACGGUCCAGACUCCUACGGGAGGCAGCAGUAGGGAAUCUUCCGCAAUGGGCGAAAGCCUGACGGAGCAACGCCGCGUGAGUGAUGAAGGUCUUCGGAUCGUAAAACUCUGUUAUUAGGGAAGAACAAAUGUGUAAGUAACUAUGCACGUCUUGACGGUACCUAAUCAGAAAGCCACGGCUAACUACGUG
rnacentral:rRNA from 1 species